rnacentral:rRNA from 1 species
AUUGAACGCUGGCGGCAGGCUUAACACAUGCAAGUCGAGCGGGGUGAUGGUGCUUGCACUAUCACUUAGCGGCGGACGGGUGAGUAAUGCUUAGGAAUCUGCCUAUUAGUGGGGGACAACAUCUCGAAAGGGAUGCUAAUACCGCAUACGUCCUACGGGAGAACGCAGGCGAUCACUUGUGACCUUGCGCUAAUAGAUGAGCCUAAGUCGGAUUAGCUAGUUGGUGGGGUAAAGGCCUACCAAGGCGACGAUCUGUAGCGGGUCUGAGAGGAUGAUCCGCCACACUGGGACUGAGACACGGCCCAGACUCCUACGGGAGGCAGCAGUGGGGAAUAUUGGACAAUGGGGGGAACCCUGAUCCAGCCAUGCCGCGUGUGUGAAGAAGGCCUUAUGGUUGUAAAGCACUUUAAGCGAGGAGGAGGCUCUUUUGGUUAAUACCCAAGAUGAGUGGACGUUACUCGCAGAAUAAGCACCGGCUAACUCUGUGCCAGCAGCCGCCGUAA